rnacentral:lncRNA from 1 species
GGACCACAUUUGACAUGUAACACGGCAGCUAUCAAUGAAUGCUCCAGUCCUUUUGAUGUAGUGUUUAAAAAUACAUCCUUGCCUCAAAGGUGUGGCAUGCAACAUUGUGAAAGGAAAAAAAAAGAAUUUAUGAAGAAAACAAAUAGAAACAAACUGAAAUUUUUAUUUGAUAUUAAUAAACAAUAAAUUAUGUGGUAAAAUACAUGUGUGACAAUUUUUAAUUGCUCUUGG